AUACGGAGGAUCCGAGCGUUAUCCGGAUUUAUUGGGUUUAAAGGGUGCGCAGGCGGGAGAUUAAGUCGGCGGUGAAAUUUUGCAGCUCAACUGUAAAAGUGCCUUCGAAACUGGGUUCCUUGAGUGUAGAUGAAGUAGGCGGAAUUUGUGGUGUAGCGGUGAAAUGCAGAGAUAUCACGAGGAACUCCGAUUGCGCAGGCAGCUUACUAAACUACUACUGACGCUCAGGCACGAAGGCGUGGGGAUCAAACAGGAUUAGAUACCCUGGUAGUCCACGCAGUAAACGAUGAUUACUAGCUGUUUGCGAUACAAUGUAAGCGGCUGAGCGAAAGCGUUAAGUAAUCCACCUGGGGAGUACGUUCGCAAGAAUGAAACUCAAAUGAAUUGACGGGG
rnacentral:rRNA from 1 species